rnacentral:misc_RNA from 1 species
GUUUUACUCAUCUUCCUCCUCUGUUUAACUGCUUCAAACCAUUUCCAUUGUUCAUUGUUUACAAAGGUUAACAAAUCCAAUCAAAAAUUUAAAAUCUCAGAAUUUUAAAUAUACGAAGACAUCAUACACAGUAAAAGUUCAAAAGAUAAUCCAUGCCAUAAGAAACGAAGAGAAGCAGAAAUUUCAAUAUACAAAUUUAUAAAAUUAACAAUUCUAGUUUUCAAUUUCAAGAACCUAAUUAGAUUCCUUGUGCUUCAGCAACUUUAAUUUUAGGAAACUUUAAACAUUCUCUUAAAAAAAAAAAAUACUAGAAAUUCAUAAAGAUCAAGUCCUUGCUACCACUAGUGGUAAUGGAGACCUCUUUGGACUGUAGCAAUCAACAUGAAAUGAGAGAGAUGGAGGGACAGAGAAAGAAAGGGCUCUACAAAGGUAUUAUGAGCAUCAUGUGAAGGAGGAACAAGGCGCACCAAAAGAGGAAGAGUAGUAGGAGAUAUUUCUCAGCUUUGCUGGCAACGUUGACCUGUUCAAAUGUUAGAGUUGACGACGUAGGAGGAGACUUACAAAUACAGAGGAGAGAGGGGAAAGAAAUGUAAGGGAGGGAGAAAGAAAGUUUG